rnacentral:rRNA from 1 species
GAUGAACGCUGGCGGCGUGCCUAAUACAUGCAAGUAGAACGCUGAAGGAGGAGCUUGCUCUUCUGGAUGAGUUGCGAACGGGUGAGUAACGCGUAGGUAACCUGCCUGGUAGCGGGGGAUAACUAUUGGAAACGAUAGCUAAUACCGCAUGACAACAGUUAUUGCAUGAUAACUGUUUAAAAGGGGCAACUGCUCCACUACCAGAUGGACCUGCGUUGUAUUAGCUAGUUGGUGAGGUAACGGCUCACCAAGGCGACGAUACAUAGCCGACCUGAGAGGGUGAUCGGCCACACUGGGACUGAGACACGGCCCAGACUCCUACGGGAGGCAGCAGUAGGGAAUCUUCGGCAAUGGACGGAAGUCUGACCGAACAACGCCGCGUGAGUGAAGAAGGUUUUCGGAUCGUAAAGCUCUGUUGUAAGAGAAGAACGAGUGUGAGAGUGGAAAGUUCACACUGUGACGGUAUCUUACCAGAAAGGGACGGCUAACUACGUG